rnacentral:rRNA from 1 species
UACGAAGGGUGCAACCGUUGCUCGGAAUUAUUGGGCGUAAAGCGCACGUAGGCGGCUUAGCAAGUCGGAAGUGAAAGCCCUUGGCUCAACCAAGGAAGUGCUUUCGAAACUGCUGAGCUUGAGUAGUUAAGAGGAUCGCGGAAUUCCCGGUGUAGAGGUGAAAUUCGUAGAUAUCGGGAGGAACACCAGUGGCGAAGGCGGCGAUCUGGGAACAUACUGACGCUGAGGUGCGAAAGCGUGGGGAGCAAACAGG